AGCGUAGGCGGAUAGUUUAGUCAGAGGUGAAAGCCCAGGGCUCAACCUUGGAAUUGCCUUUGAUACUGGCUAUCUUGAGUACGGAAGAGGUAUGUGGAACUCCGAGUGUAGAGGUGAAAUUCGUAGAUAUUCGGAAGAACACCAGUGGCGAAGGCGACAUACUGGUCCGUUACUGACGCUGAGGCUGAAAGCGUGGGGAGCAAACA
rnacentral:rRNA from 1 species